rnacentral:rRNA from 2 species
UACAGAGGGUGCGAGCGUUAAUCGGAAUGACUGGGCGUAAAGGGCAUGUAGGCGGUUAUGUUAGUCUGAUGUGAAAUACCCGGGCUUAACCUGGGAUAUGCAUUGGAAACGGCAUAGCUAGAGUAUGGGAGAGGGAAGUGGAAUUUCCGGUGUAGCGGUGAAAUGCGUAGAGAUCGGAAAGAACACUCGUGGCGAAGGCGGCUUUCUGGCCCAUAACUGACGCUGAGGUGCGAAAGCAUGGGGAGCAAACAGG